rnacentral:RNase_P_RNA from 1 species
CGAGUUGGUUAGACAAUCGCUGGUUUAUUGAAGCCCUCAAAUUCGUUUCGGCGUAAACUAGGGGACAAGUAAACGAGAGGAAAGUCCGAGCUACACAGGGCAGAGUGCCAGAUAACGUCUGGGAGGCGUGAGCCUACGACAAGUGCAACAGAGAGCAGACCGCCAGUUUCGGCUGGUAAGGGUGAAAGGGUGCGGUAAGAGCGCACCGCGUAACUGGCAACAGUUUACGGCAGGGUAAACUCCACUCGUAGCAAGACCAAAUAGGAAUCCAACGAGUUGCCCGCUUGGGAUUCGGGUAGGUUGCUUGAGCGUAUAUGUGAAUGUACGCCUAGAGGAAUGAUUGUCCAAGACAGAACUCGGCUUAUCGACCAACUCAGCUA